UACGUAGGGUGCGAGCGUUGUCCGGAAUUACCGGGCGUAAAGAGCUCGUAGGUGGUUUGUCGCGUUGUUCGUGAAAACCUGAGGCUUAACCUUGGGCGUGCGGGCGAUACGGGCAGACUGGAGUACUGCAGGGGAGACUGGAAUUCCUGGUGUAGCGGUGGAAUGCGCAGAUAUCAGGAGGAACACCGGUGGCGAAGGCGGGUCUCUGGGCAGUAACUGACGCUGAGGAGCGAAAGCGUGGGGAGCGAACAGG
rnacentral:rRNA from 1 species